AAACUCCUCUACCAAUUCUCCUCCACUACUUGUAGGUUAAACAGAGGCGAGUGGCGACUGUGGACAAGACGUACUCCUGAACUCCUGAAAAGGACCACUGCAUUAAUUGUUGGAGGGGGGGCUGGGGGAGACGUUGUAGCUCCUCACAGCCUGAGAUGAUCGAGACGACGAGCUGACAUCCAACUCAUCCGAACCCCAGAGUGUCGUCCGCGUGCCCCCGCGGCGCCCCGUCGAGACGCUACACCGAGGCAAUUAACAUGCGAAGAUGAGGUGUUCCAGAUGUAAAAAGUUUGUUAAAAAUACUGCAAAGUUCUGCAGUGAGUGUGGACAUUGCCUCACUACCCAACCUGUGAACCAGACAAAUGUUGCAGAGGGGGAUUCUCUCUCAAAUACCUCAGAAUCAGAGCCUUCUCUGCCCUUGGAUGGCCUUGAGUCUAAUGACUCCCCCCAACAGCUUGUCUAUUCGGGGGAAGGCGCCACUGGGGACAUCACGAAGCAAAAAAAGAAGAAGAAAAGGGCCAGAAAGAAGAAUGAUGAACCUAUGUCAUUAAACGAAGAAUCUUUGGCCUCAGACCUGUUGGAUAACAACCUGCCAAAUGUACAGGAAGAAUCUUCUCAAAGAGAUUGUAAUGCCAACGAAGUGGAUGAUAUUCCAGGCCCACUCAUUGAUGCCAAUUCCUCGACAGAGAGCCAGCCUAAUUCAUUGAAAGCUUACGGUACAAAACUACCUGAGGGCAGAACUGUACCAAAAACGACUCAGGCUGAGGAAAACCAGUCAGUUCAGGAUGAGUCAUCCAAGUCAGUUCAGGCUGAGUCAUCCAAGUCAGUUCAGGAUGAGUCAUCCAAGUCAGUUCAGGAUGAGUCAUCCAAGUCAGUUCAGGCUGAGUCAUCCAAGUCAGUUCAAGCUGAGUCAUCGAAGUCUAUUCCGGGUGAGGCAUCCAAGUCAGCUCAGGAUGAGGCACAAGAAAACCCUGAUGAUAUCGAAAGGACCGGGGAAAAUCCAGAAUCUGCGGAGGACGUUGAACUUCCUCCAAAAAGGAUUAAGUCUUCCAAGCCUGUUCAGGAUGAAUCCUCUAAGUCUGUUGAGGAUCACUCAUCCAAGCUAGCUCAGGCUGAGGCACCUAUGUCUGUUGAGGAUGAGGCAUCCAAGUCGGGUCAAGUUGGGUCAUCUAAGUCAGCUCAGGUAGACUCAAUUUCUUCCACCAAUUCGGGAGAGGAUACGAAACCCCAAGAAGGUAAAGGGACAAAAUCCACCAAUCAGAAGAACCUUGGGGAGAAGACCAAGACGGAUAAUGCCAAAAAGAAUGAUAAUAAAGGGGAUCAGAAACUAUCCAUGGAUGAAAAUGCGAAUGAUACUCAUCAAUCCAAGAAGCAGGUGAAAGGUGGUCAACAAGACCAAAAAGGAAAGCAAAAACCAACUGGUAAACAAGGCCCGGCCGCGGAAAAGAAGGCUGGUUCGAGCGUGGAUGCAGAGGCUAAGGUUGAAGUUGCGAGGAAUCAGCAGUCAGCUGCUGGGGGAGGAGACGUACCAGAAAAACCGGAUGAUGUCGAAAACACCGGGGACAAUCA
ensembl:lncRNA